UACAGAGGUCCCAAGCGUUGUUCGGAUUCAUUGGGCGUAAAGGGCGCGUAGGCGGGCGGUCAAGUCAGGGGUGAAAUCUUUCAGCUCAACUGGAAAAUGGCCUUUGAUACUGGCCGCCUGGAGGGGGGUAGGGGCAUGUGGAACUUCCGGUGGAGCGGUGAAAUGCGUAGAUAUCGGAAGGAACGCCGGUGGCGAAAGCGACGUGCUGGACCCUUUCUGACGCUGAGGCGCGAAAGCCAGGGGAGCAAACGGG
rnacentral:rRNA from 1 species